ACCUCACCUAACAGUUAUUGGUGACACAUAGAUGGAUGAGUAUACAACUCUUGUACAAUGCUUCUCAAGCAUGUUGCAGUGCAACUUGGUCUCUAAGCCAUGAAGAUCUCACCUAACAGUUAUUGGUCCAAUUUCUUAGUUAAGUCAGACCCACCGUAUAACCGUAGAAAUAAAGUCGUCAUUGGGUCCUCACCUAACAUUUAUUGGUGCCCAACCCCACCUUUACCCUACAACAUCUCAU
rnacentral:lncRNA from 1 species